UACGUAGGUGGCAAGCGUUGUCCGGAUUUACUGGGCGUAAAGCGUGCGUAGACGGUCAUGUAAGUCGGGUGUGAAAGCCCCGGGCUCAACCUGGGAAUUGCAUUCGAGACUGCAUGGCUAGGAUGCGGAAGAGGGAAGCGGAAUUUCCGGUGUAGCGGUGAAAUGCGUAGAUAUCGGAAGGAACACCAGCGGCGAAGGCGGCUCACUGGGCUCCACCUGACGCUGAGGCGCGAAAGCGUGGGGAGCAAACCGG
rnacentral:rRNA from 1 species